UACAGAGGUCUCAAGCGUUGUUCGGAUUCAUUGGGCGUAAAGGGUGCGUAGGCGGCGCGGUAAGUCGGAUGUGAAAUCUCGGAGCUUAACUCCGAAACUGCAUUCGAUACUGCCGUGCUUGAGGACUGGAGAGGAGACUGGAAUUUACGGUGUAGCGGUGAAAUGCGUAGAUAUCGUAAGGAAGACCAGUGGCGAAGGCGGGUCUCCGGACAGUUCCUGACGCUGAAGCACGAAGGCCAGGGGAGCAAACGGG
rnacentral:rRNA from 1 species